rnacentral:misc_RNA from 1 species
ACGGACGAGGGCGACUAUCAGGUCAAGCUGAAAAACCUGACGCGUUUCCUCGAAAGUGGUGACAAGGGCAAGGUAACGCUACGUUUUCGCGGUCGCGAAAUGGCACACCAGGACAUCGGCCGUCGGCUGAUGGAGCGGGUUGCUGCCGAUCUCGAAGACAUCGGUACCGUGGAAUCCUUCCCCAAGAUGGAAGGGCGCCAGAUGGUCAUGAUCCUUGCCCCCAAGAAGAAGUGAUCCGAAGGCCCGUCAAACGGAUGUCCGGUGCUCGCACCGGACAUCGGCCCCGGAUUUUCUGAAAAAUUCUCGAGCGGAGUUCAUCUCAUGCCGA